UGUGUGUGUGUAUACAGCGGUUGGCCAAAAGUCACUUGACAGUAAAUCAAAGCCAUUUAAUUCCGAGAUUUCUUUAUGUUUAACAACUGAAUGAAUUUAAUAAAAGCAUCUAAAUAUGGAAUAUCA
rnacentral:lncRNA from 1 species